rnacentral:rRNA from 1 species
CCGACCUACGGGAGGCAGCAGGGAAUCUUCCACAAUGGACGAAAGUCUGAUGGAGCAACGCCGCGUGAGUGAAGAAGGGUUUCGGCUCGUAAAACUCUGUUGGGAGGGGAGGAAGGUAGAGGUAGUAACUGGCCUUUAUUUGACGGUAAUUACUUAGAAAGUCACGGCUAACUACGUGCCAGCAGCCGCGGUAAUACGUAGGUGGCAAGCGUUUUCCGGAUUUGUUGGGCGUAAA